rnacentral:rRNA from 1 species
GACGAACGCUGGCGGCGUGCUUAACACAUGCCAGUCGAACGGAAAGGCCCUGCUUUUGUGGGGUGCUCGAGUGGCGAACGGGUGAGUAACACGUGAGUAACCUGCCCUUGACUUUGGGAUAACUUCAGGAAACUGGGGCUAAUACCGGAUAGGAGCUCCUGCUGCAUGGUGGGGGUUGGAAAGUUUCGGCGGUUGGGGAUGGACUCGCGGCUUAUCAGCUUGUUGGUGUGGUAGUGGCUUACCAAGGCUUUGACGGGUAGCCGGCCUGAGAGGGUGACCGGCCACAUUGGGACUGAGAGACGGCCCAGAAUCCUACGGGAGGCAGCAGUGGGGAAUAUUGCACAAUGGGCGGAAGCCUGAUGCAGCAACGCCGCGUGCGGGAUGACGGCCUUCGGGUUGUAAACCGCUUUCGCAUGUGACGAAGCGUGAGUGACGGUAAUGGGUAAAGAAGCACCGGCUAACUACGUG